rnacentral:tRNA from 1 species
GCCCCCGUAGCUCAAUUGGUUAGAGCGGCAGACUCAUAAUCUGACGGUUUGCAGGUUCAAGUCCUGCCGGGGGCA